CAGCGCCACGGUAAUACAGAGGGUGCAAGCGUUAAUCGGAUUUACUGGGCGUAAAGCGUGCGUAGGCGGCUUCUUAAGUCGGAUGUGAAAUCCCCGAGCUUAACUUGGGAAUUGCAUUCGAUACUGGUUAGCUAGAGUGUGGGAGAGGAUGGUAGAAUUCCAGGUGUAGCGGUGAAAUGCGUAGAGAUCUGGAGGAAUACCGAUGGCGAAGGCAGCCAUCUGGCCUAACACUGACGCUGAGGUACGAAAGCAUGGGGAGCAAACAGGAUUAGAUACCCCUGUAGUCCCUGUCUCUUAUACA
rnacentral:rRNA from 1 species